rnacentral:rRNA from 1 species
AUAGUUGGCGGGGUAACGGCCCACCAAGUCUGCGAUCAGUAACUGGUGUGAGAGCACGACCAGUCACACGGGCACUGAGACACGGGCCCGACUCCUACGGGAGGCAGCAGUAAGGAAUAUUGGUCAAUGGACGCAAGUCUGAACCAGCCAUGCCGCGUGGAGGAUUAAGGCCCUCUGGGUUGUAAACUCCUUUUAUCUGGGAAGAAAUGCAUUUUUUCUAAAGUGCUUGACGGUACCAGAGGAAUAAGCACCGGCUAACUCCGUGCCAGCAGCCGCGGUAAUACGGAGGGUGCAAGCGUUAUCCGGAUUCACUGGGUUUAAAGGGUGCGUAGGCGGGCAAGUAAGUCCGUGGUGAAAUCUCUGAGCUUAACUCAGAAACUGCCAUGGAUACUAUUUGUCUUGAAUAUUGUGGAGGUAAGCGGAAUAUGUCAUGUAGCGGUGAAAUGCUUAGAUAUGACAUAGAACACCAAUUGCGAAGGCAGCUUACUACACAGUUAUUGACGCUGAGGCACGAAAGCGUGGGGAUCAAACAGGAUUAGAUACCCUGGUAGUCCACGCCCUAAACGAUGAUUACUCGACAUCAGCGAUACACUGUUGGUGUCUGAGCGAAAGCAUUAAGUAAUCCACCUGGGAAGUACGAUCGCAAGAUUGAAACUCAAAGGAAUUGACG